GACGAACGCUGGCGGCGUGCCUAAUACAUGCAAGUCGAGCGCUGAAGGUUGGUGCUUGUACCAACUGGAUGAGCAGCGAACGGGUGAGUAACGCGUGGGGAAUCUGCCUUUGAGCGGGGGAUAACAUCUGGAAACGAAUGCUAAUACCGCAUAAUAACUUUAAACACAAGUUUCAAGAUUGAAAGAUGCAAUUGCAUCACCUUAAGAUGAUCCCGCUUUGUCUUAGCUAGGUGGUGAGGUAAAGGCUCACCAAGGCGAAGAUACAUAGCCGACCUGAGAGGGGUGACGGCCACAAUGGGAAUGAGACACGGCCCAAGCUCCUUCGGGAAGCAGCAGGAGGGGAUCUUCGGCAAUUGGCGGAAGGCUGACCGGGCAACGGCGGGGGGGUGAAGGAAGUUUUCGGAUCGUAAAACUCUGUUGGUAGGGGAGAACGUUGGUGGGAGUGAAAAGCGCAUCAAGUGACGGUAACUAACCAGAAAGGGACGGCUAACUACGUG
rnacentral:rRNA from 1 species